rnacentral:rRNA from 1 species
AUUGAACGCUGGCGGCAGGCCUAACACAUGCAAGUCGAGCGGAUGAAGGGUGCUUGCUCCUGGAUUCAGCGGCGGACGGGUGUGUAAUGCCUAGGAAUAUGCCUGGUUGUGGGGGAUAACGUCCGGAAACGGGCGCUAAUACCGCAUACGUCCUGAGGGUGAAAGUGGGGGUUCUUCGGACCUCACGCUACCAGAUGAGCCUAGCUCGGAUUAGCUAGUUGGUGGGGUAAAGGCCUACCAAGGCGACGAUCCGUAACUGGUCUGAGAGGAUGAUCAGUCACACUGGAACUGGGACACGGUCCAGACUCCUACGGGAGGCAGCAGUGGGGAAUAUUGGACAAGGGGCGAAAGCCUGAUCCAGCCAUGCCGCGUGUGUGAAGAAGGUCUUCGGAUUGUAAAGCACUUUAAGUUGGGAGGAAGGGCAGUAAGGUAAUACCUUGCUGUUUUGACGUUACCAACAGAAUAAGCACCGGCUAACUUCGUG